CCUGGUGUCUAUGGCGAUGUGGAACCACUCCGAACCAUCUCGAACUCGGUUGUGAAACGCAUCUGCGGCAAAUAUAGUGGGCGGGUCACUGCCUGUAAAUCUAGCUCGAUGCCAGGA
rnacentral:rRNA from 1 species